rnacentral:rRNA from 1 species
GAUGAACGCUGGCGGCGUGCCUAAUACAUGCAAGUCGAGCGAACGGACGAGAAGCUUGCUUUUCUGAUGUUAGCGGCGGACGGGUGAGUAACACGUGGAUAACCUACCUAUAAGACUGGGAUAACUUCGGGAAACCGGAGCUAAUACCGGAUAAUAUUUUGAACCGCAUGGUUCAAAAGUGAAAGACGGUCUUGCUGUCACUUAUAGAUGGAUCCGCGCUGCAUUAGCUAGUUGGUAAGGUAACGGCUUACCAAGGCAACGAUGCAUAGCCGACCUGAGAGGGUGAUCGGCCACACUGGAACUGAGACACGGUCCAGACGCCUACGGGAGGCAGCAGUAGGGAAUCUUCCGCAAUGGGCGAAAGCCUGACGGAGCAACGCCGCGUGAGUGAUGAAGGUCUUCGGAUCGUAAAACUCUGUUAUUAGGGAAGAACAUAUGUGUAAGUAACUGUGCACAUCUUGACGGUACCUAAUCAGAAAGCCACGGCUAGCUACGUG